UCCAGUAGGGCCCAAGCCAGCCAGGAAGGAGGAGGCAGCCAGAGAGGCCUCCACUGUUCUCUGCAGCAGAAGACCCCUUGCUGCCAGGGUAAAGGAGCUGUGCUGUGCAGGGAAGUGUGUGUGACAACCAUUCCAACAGUUGCCCAUGCCAAGCUGCCACAUUGUUCUACCAGCACUCGCCUAGCCUCCUUCGACCCAGCACAACCUGGGGGUGGCUGCAAACAUAAACAUGCAUUCUUCAGUCUCUCAUUGCAGCAACAUAUGAAAUUAUGAGCUGGAGCUGAUAUCAAGAACUUGGCUUAUGUUGGUGGUUGAAGAAAGGAGCAGAGCUCAAAGUUCUAUGUAAUUUUGUUUUUGUAAGCUGCCUUUUAAGUCAAAAGGCAGGGUAAAAAUACCUUAAAUAAAUAAAAUGAUGCUCUUGA